CUCCUGCGGGCGCGCCGACGUCACGGGCGGGCGGGAGCGAGCCCGUAACCCUCCCCCUCCCUCCGCCGCCUCCUCCUCCCUUUCCGGACCACCCAAGUCAUUCAUUCAUUCAUUCGUUCGUUCGUUCUCGCGAUAGUAUGUGUUCCUUCCUUCAGCGGUGCUGAUGGAGCAAUUCCUGUGUGCAGAGCACUGGACUGAGCGCAUGGAACGGACAGUUCGGCCCGCGACAGGCCCAAACGACAACGGAACGACCUUAUCGAGUGCCGAGACGGGUCGGAAGAUACAAACCGUCGUUACACCACAGUGGUGCUUGAUUAAAAACCAUGGCACACUGUUAGAAACGAUUUCCAAAAACCGAGCGGCACCGCGGCCGCUCCCAAUCCGCGCCCAGAGGGAGGAAGAGCCUCAACCGAAACCGAGGGCCCCUCCCGGCUUUCGCUCCACGAGAAAAGGAAAAGGGGGUUAAAACAAGGAAAAUUCACGGAACCGAGGGGCGUGGCGGGACCCGAGGGACCCCCCUCAGGUACGGCCGGCUAGACUUAACUCGGGGGUGACCGGCCUCGGCCCCCGAACGGCCUCACCGCCCGGCCGAACUGUCUCGCCAAGCCGCCCCUUUGGCUCUUCCGCCCGGCGUCCCGUAAAACCUUCACGCCUCUGCCGUUUCCUGAACUGCCCACGUCCCAGACCUCAUGGAUUUUCCAUGACUAGCUGCGAGCCAGGGUAGAUUCAUUCCCCCUGAAGCCCCUGAAGGAAAACGCUCUCUCUCUCACCUCUCUCUCUCUCUUUCGCUGAAAAACAAAAAGGAGAUGAAUGUUUUCAUGAGCACAUUAGAUUCACUAGUUUCAAAACACGGACCACCGAACCAACAGCAGGGAAGGCUGUGACAACACUGGCAGAGGAAGGAAAUUAUAAUAAUCCAUGGCUCCGGUGUCUGGAGAAGCCCCAAGAGCCUUGGGGCUCUUCUCUGUCCGACCCAGACUGGAAGGAUCGAGUCUGCCCCCGAGGGAGUCGAAGGGGGUCGUUCUCUAUUUUGGACGAAAGAGAGAAAAGACGUCCAACGGAAGAGAGAAAACGACAUGAAGAGAGCACAUUCGGGAAACGAGUUCACUACCGAUUCCGGCAAAAAUAGACAUUUUCUUUCUCGAAUGGCUUAGAGUCAGGAGGAGACGGGAGGUGGGGCAGAGAGUCAGCACCAAAAAACCGACGCCUGCCAUUUCCGGUGCUUUGGACGAAUGCACGGUAUUAGAACGCUUAAUUAAAAAAUUUCAACGGACCCACACGUGUCUACACCUCAUGCCGAAUUCCCGUCGGGUUUUGUGGGUGUUGGGUAUUCUGUUUGGUUUCUCCUUCCCCCCGAUCGACUCGCCCGGAUUCCAAUUCCGGUCCUUCCCCGCGGUGCUGAGACGGACCCGGAAGGACCGCUCGGAUGUCCGGGCGGCUGGCCGGCGGCAGGGCGGCCUGGCAGAGGAGCCGGGGAACGGACUUAAUAGCAGCGGAACCCAACCCUCCAGGGUACUUCUUGGGGGCCUUGAUUUCUAUUCCCUAUCCCGACCUCCCAACUGACUACAAACCUGACCUUCUGGGGAGAGAGGGGGGAAGACGGGAGAGGGGAAGAGGAAAAAUGAGUGGGAAUGGUAAGAGGAAAGAAUAAAAAGCUCAACUGAAUGUC